GACGAACGCUGGCGGCGUGCUUAACACAUGCAAGUCGAACGGAAAGGCCCUGCUUUUGUGGCGUGCUCGAGUGGCGAACGGGUGAGUAACACGCGAGUAACCUGCCCCUGACUUUGGGAUAACUUCAGGAAACUGGGGCUAAUACCGGAUAGGAGCUACUGCUGCACGGUGGGGGUUGGAAAGAUUCGGCGGUUGGGGAUGGACUCGCGGCUUAUCAGCUUGUUUGUGAGGUAGUGGCUUACCAAGGCUUAGACGGGUAGCCGGCCUGGGAGCGGGACCGGCGACAUGAGGACUGAGAUACGGACCAGUCUCCUACGGGCGGCAGUAGGGGAGAAUUUUGCACAAUGGGCGGAAGCGUGAGGUGGCAACCCCGGGUGCGGAAUAACGGCUUUCGGGUUAUAAACCGCUUUCGCAUGUGACGAAGAGUGAGUGACGGUAAUGGGUAAGGAAGCACCGGCUAACUACGUG
rnacentral:rRNA from 1 species